UACGGAGGGUGCAAGCGUUAAUCGGAAUUACUGGGCGUAAAGCGCGUGUAGGCGGCUAAGUAAGUCGGGCGUGAAAUCCCACGGCUCAACCGUGGAAGUGCACUCGAAACUGCAUAGCUAGAGUCCUGGAGAGGAAGGUGGAAUGCUUGGUGUAGAGGUGAAAUUCGUAGAUAUCAAGCGGAACACCGGUGGCGAAGGCGGCCUUCUGGACAGUGACUGACGCUGAGACGCGAAAGCGUGGGGAGCAAACAGG
rnacentral:rRNA from 1 species